UACAGAGGUCUCAAGCGUUGUUCGGAUUCAUUGGGCGUAAAGGGUGCGUAGGUGGCGCUGUAAGUCGGGUGUGAAAUUUCGGAGCUUAACUCCGAAACUGCAUUCGAUACUGCGGGUCUCGAGUCCGGGAGAGGUGAGUGGAAUUCCUAGUGUAGAGGUGAAAUUCGUAGAUAUUAGGAAGAACACCAGUGGCGAAGGCGGCUCACUGGCCCGGUACUGACGCUGAGGCGCGAAAAGCGUGGGGAGCAAACAGG
rnacentral:rRNA from 1 species